rnacentral:rRNA from 1 species
GAUGAACGCUGGCGGCGUGCUUAACACAUGCAAGUCGAACGGGAAACCUUUUAUUGAAGCUUCGGCAGAUAUAGCUGGUUUCUAGUGGCGGACGGGUGAGUAACGCGUGGGUAACCUGCCCUAUACAGGGGGAUAACAACCAGAAAUGGUUGCUAAUACCGCAUAAGCGCACAGGACCGCAUGGUCCGGUGUGAAAAACUCCGGUGGUAUAGGAUGGACCCGCGUUGGAUUAGCCAGUUGGCAGGGUAACGGCCUACCAAAGCGACGAUCCAUAGCCGGCCUGAGAGGGUGAACGGCCACAUUGGGACUGAGACACGGCCCAGACUCCUACGGGAGGCAGCAGUGGGGAAUAUUGCACAAUGGGGGAAACCCUGAUGCAGCGACGCCGCGUGAAGGAAGAAGUAUCUCGGUAUGUAAACUUCUAUCAGCAGGGAAGAUAGUGACGGU